rnacentral:rRNA from 1 species
UACGAAGGGGGCUAGCGUUGCUCGGAAUUACUGGGCGUAAAGGGAGCGUAGGCGGGUUAUUAAGUUGGAGGUGAAAGCCCAGGGCUCAACCUUGGAAUUGCCUUCAAAACUGAUAGCCUAGAGUAUGGAAGAGGUAAGUGGAACUCCGAGUGUAGAGGUGAAAUUCGUAGAUAUUCGGAAGAACACCAGUGGCGAAGGCGACUUACUGGUCCAUGACUGACGCUGAGGCUCGAAAGCGUGGGGAGCAAACAGG